rnacentral:lncRNA from 10 species
AUGAAGGAGCAUGUGCUGUGCAGGGUAAGGCAGGUGGAUUGCAAACACGCCCAUCUCUGCAUCCUCUGGGGACUCGUGACCUUCUCACUCUGAGCCUGCAGCUUCUGCCUUCAGGAGUUGGAGUCUAAACCCCUCCAGCCACCCUGCCGCCAAAACCGGGCCUGCCUUGCUUUGACUAAAAGGACAUGGCUCCCGCACUGCAUCCGUCUCUCACCUGACUCCAUCGUCAGACUGCAGAGGGGAGGCGAGGGCGUUCCUGGCUGGAUUUCAUGGCUUCACCUUCGGUACUGAAGAAAAGGCCAAGUUCUGGGAUUAUGCAUGCCACUGCUUGACUACUGUCUCCUUGGUUUCUUUGACAGACAUUUAUCCAGCACCUGCUGUGUACCAGGCUCUGUUCUAGGUGCUGAGUAUACAAGAAUGGAGAAGUUCACCUAAAAUGUUACCAUCUUCUCUACAAUAUCUUACCUCAACAACACACUCUUGUGCCUGGAUUGUUGCAAUUGCUUCCGAAUCAGUUUUUCUGUCUCCACUCUUAAUGUCAUUCAAGACUUUCUGCACCUGACAGCACAACAGUCCCUCCAAAGUGUCACUCAGCAGCUUAACCCCCCCACACUGCCCUCGGGAGCAGCCCCCCAGUGUCUCACAGGGCUGAGAUGAUGCCCUCCUUGACUUGAACCUUCAUGCUUCUCAGAGAAACGCCUUUCAACUUGGUGCUGUCAGACCCACGUAGACUCUGCUGAAGCACAGCCAGUUCCUCUCAAUUCUCGAAUGAGCCACCUUCCCUCUCACCUCCAAGUGGCGGCUCACGCUGUUGACUGCCUGCACGAUGUUCUCCCUGGCUCUGCAGUUAAUUGCCUGUGUAUCACUCCUGCACCAUGGAGAAGGCAAUCAGAAACAUCCUUCCUCCU